GCCCUACGGGAGGCAGCAGUAAGGGAUAUUGGUCAAUGGGGGAAACCCUGAACCAGCAACGCCGCGUGAGGGAAGACGGUUUUCGGAUUGUAAACCCCUGUCCUCUGUGAAGAUGAUGACGGUAGCAGAGGAGGAAGCUCCGGCUAACUACGUGCCAGCAGCCGCGGUAAUACGUAGGGAGCGAGCGUUGUCCGGAUUUACUGGGUGUAAAGGGAGCGUAGACGGCGCGGCAAGUCUGAAGUGAAAGGCAGGGGCUUAACCCCUGAACUGCUUUGGAAACUGCCAUGCUAGAGUGCUGGAGAGGG
rnacentral:rRNA from 1 species